UAGGGAUAUAGCUCAGUUGGUAGAGCGCCUGCCUCACAUGCACAAGGCCCUGGGUUCAGUCCUCAGCUCUAA
rnacentral:tRNA from 1 species